CGCUGGCGGCGUGCCUAACACAUGCAAGUCGAACGGAGUCAAGAAGCUUGCUUUUGACUUAGUGGCGGACGGGUGAGUAACGCGUGAGUAACCUGCCUCUGAGAGGGGAAUAACGUUCUGAAAAGAACGCUAAUACCGCAUAAUGUAUCGAAGCCGCAUGACUUUGAUACCAAAGAUUUUUAUCGCUCGGAGAUGGACUCGCGUCCGAUUAGUUAGUUGGUGAGGUAACGGCUCACCAAGACCGCGAUCGGUAGCCGGACUGAGAGGUUGAUCGGCCACAUUGGGACUGAGACACGGCCCAGACUCCUACGGGAGGCAGCAGUGGGGGAUAUUGCGCAAUGGGGGCAACCCUGAACCGCAGCAACGCCGCGUGAAGGAUGAAGGUUUUCGGAUUGUAAACUUCUUUUAUCAGGGACGAAGCUUGACGGUACCUGAUGAAUAAGCUCCGGCUAACUACGUGCCAGCCGCCGC
rnacentral:rRNA from 1 species